AGUGAACGCUGGCGGUAGGCCUAACACAUGCAAGUCGAACGGCAGCACAGUAAGAGCUUGCUCUUACGGGUGGCGAGUGGCGGACGGGUGAGGAAUACAUCGGAAUCUACUUUUUCGUGGGGGAUAACGUAGGGAAACUUACGCUAAUACCGCAUACGACCUACGGGUGAAAGCAGGGGGUCUUCGGACCUUGCGCGAUUGAAUGAGCCGAUGUCGGAUUAGCUAGUUGGCGGGGUAAAGGCCCACCAAGGCGACGAUCCGUAGCUGGUCUGAGAGGAUGAUCAGCCACACUGGAACUGAGACACGGUCCAGACUCCUACGGGAGGCAGCAGUGGGGAAUAUCGGACAAUGGGCGCAAGCCUGAUCCAGCCAUACCGCGUGGGUGAAGAAGGCCUUCGGGUUGUAAAGCCCUUUUGUUGGGAAAGAAAAGCAGCAGGUUAAUACCCCGCUGUUCUGACGGUACCCAAAGAAUAAGCACCGGCUAACUUCGUG
rnacentral:rRNA from 1 species